rnacentral:rRNA from 1 species
GACGAACGCUGGCGGCGUGCUUAACACAUGCAAGUCGAACGGAAAGGCCCUGCCUUUGUGGGCUGCUCGACUUGCGAACGGGGGAGUAACACGUGAGUAACCAGCCCUUCACUUAGGGAGAACCUCAGGAAAGUGGGGCUAAUACCGGCUAGGAGCUAUCGCUGCUGGGUGGGGGUGGGAUAGUUUAGGCGGUUGGGGUUGGAAUAGCGGCUUAUCAGCUUGUUGGUGGGGUAGUGGCUGACCAUGGCUAUGACGGGUAGCCGGCCUGGGAGGGUGACAGGCCACAUUGGGACUGGGAUGCGACCCGGCCUCGAACGGGAGGGAGGGGUGGAGAAUGGUACACAAUAGGCGGAGGGAUGGUGCAGCAACGCCGCGUGGGGGAUGACGGCCAUCGGGUAGUAAAGCACUUUCGCCUGAGACGAAGCGUGAGUGACGGUACCGGGAAAAGAAGCACCGGCUAACUACGUG